AGAGCGAACGCUGGCGGCAGGCCUAACACAUGCAAGUCGAGCGCCCGUAGCAAUACGGGAGCGGCAGACGGGAUAGUAACACGUGGGAACGCGCCCUUCGGUUCGGAAUAACUCAGGGAAACUUGAGCUAAUACCGAAUACGCCCUUACGGGGAAAGAUUUAUUGCCGAAGGAACGGCCCGCGUCCGAUUAGCUAGUUGGUGAGGUAAUGGCUCACCAAGGCUACGAUCGGUAGCUGGUCUGAGAGGAUGACCAGCAUCACUGGGACUGAGACACGGCCCAGACUCCUACGGGGAGGCAGCAGUGGGGAAUAUGGACAAUGGGCGAAAGCCUGAUCCAGCCAUGCCGCGUGGAUGAUGAAGGCCUUAGGGUUGUAAAGUCCUUUUAACGGGGAAGAUAAUGACGGUACCGUAGAAUAAGCCCCGGACUAACUUCGUGCCAGCAGCCGC
rnacentral:rRNA from 1 species